rnacentral:sRNA from 1 species
GUUAAAAUGGUUCUAAAUAAACAUGUACAUGUACCAGUAUACAAGAGUAAUUUGGGACCAGUAGUAACCAGUAUCUCUUUCAGUGUAAUUUUGUAUGUUCAAAACAAUUUUUUACUUUACAGAAAUUGUUUAUGUUCAUUAAUAAAACCCUGUAUUCUUUCAUUUAUAUGCCUUAAUUUCUUAAUUUAAAAAUCAUUCUGCAAAAGUAUGGGUGAGAGAUUAAAAGAUAUAACAUUUAAUGUAUACAAUCAUGUAUUUCUACUAGAUAGAAUGAUGUGGUUGCAUGUAGCUGCAUUUUGAAUUAAAGACAAUCCUAAGCUAGAAAUGUUUCUUACACAUACAUACAUAAUUUGUUUGAAAAUGUGAUGUUGAAGCUUGCUAUAGAUGCUGCAAUGGAUACAAUUUACUUGCAUUGAAAAAUUAGUAGAACCCAUGACCCUGAGGUGAGAUAUAUGGUACCCAAAAGAUUCAUAUAAUUUAGUAAAUUGGCUACACAUAUAAAUAAUAUAACAAUCUCUUGAGUAAUGGGUGGCCAAUGAUUUGUUUUAAAUGAUUGGAUAUCUAAGAGAGCAUGGGGUUGCUUUAUUUUUAUUGUACAGUAAUAUUUUAACCCCAUGACUCCAAUUUAUUUUAAAUAUUUCAUGCAAAAGAAAACAUGGACAGAGAAUAUACAAUAACUGGUAUAGCAGUUCACUGAAUUUCAAGGUUGAACAGCAUUUAUUUGUUGUACGUUCUCCACGUAUGUAUUUUCCAUUGAUAACAAAUCUUUCUCCUGUUAUAUUUUGUGCUUCGUUAAGACUGGCUGAUACAUUUUGUGCCAAAAUUGCUUUUACCAAUUACAUUCCUUCAGAAGAUGAUUAUAAUUACCACUGUUUGUUUUUCUAUGCAAUUGUUAAAGUCAUGUUUUCAUCAAGUAAUGAAGCAUUUUAAUUCAUGUUAAAAUUUUGUACAGAUGACCAUAAAUGAAUUAUUUUGUUAUUUAAUAGCAAAUCUGAAUGAUGUUUUGUAUGAUUUUCGUAUACUUUCUUUUUUAUGGAUGUAUAAACUAAUGACUUAUAAUAUGAAAAUUGAAAUGUUAUUGAUUUGAAUAAAAGAACGCAUUAA